rnacentral:rRNA from 1 species
AUUGAACGCUGGCGGCAUGCCUUACACAUGCAAGUCGAACGGUAACAGGUCUUCGGAUGCUGACGAGUGGCGAACGGGUGAGUAAUACAUCGGAACGUGCCCGAUCGUGGGGGAUAACGGAGCGAAAGCUUUGCUAAUACCGCAUACGAUCUACGGAUGAAAGCAGGGGACCGCAAGGCCUUGCGCGGACGGAGCGGCCGAUGGCAGAUUAGGUAGUUGGUGGGAUAAAAGCUUACCAAGCCGACGAUCUGUAGCUGGUCUGAGAGGACGACCAGCCACACGGGGACUGAGACACGGCCCAGACUCCUACGGGAGGCAGCAGUGGGGAAUUUUGGACAAUGGGCGAAAGCCUGAUCCAGCCAUGCCGCGUGCAGGAUGAAGGCCUUCGGGUGGUAAACUGCUUUUGUACGGAACGAAAAGACUCUUUCUAAUAAAGAGGGUCCAGGACGGUACCGUAGAAUAAGCACCGGCUAACUACGUG